GUGGGGAAUAUUGGACAAUGGGGGAAACCCUGAUCCAGCAAUGCCGCGUGAGUGAAGAAGGCCUUAGGGUUGUAAAGCUCUUUCACCCGUGAAGAUGAUGACUGUAGCGGGACAAGAAGCUCCGGCUAACUCCGUGCCAGCAGCCGCGGUAAUACGGAGGGGGCUAGCGUUGCUCGGAAUUACUGGGCGUAAAGCGCGCGUAGGCGGUGCAUUUAGUCAGACGUGAAAGCCCAGGGCUUAACCCUGGAACUGCGUUUGAUACUGAUGCGCUAGAAUUCGAGAGAGGGUAGUGGAAUUUCCAGUGUAGAGGUGAAAUUCGUAGAUAUUGGAAAGAACACCAGUGGCGAAGGCGGCUACCUGGCUCGAUAUUGACGCUGAGGUGCGAAAGCGUGGGGAGCGAACAGGAUUAGAAACCCCGGUAGUCC
rnacentral:rRNA from 1 species